rnacentral:sRNA from 1 species
CAGAGCAGCUCAGGGAUGGAAACAGCCCCAUUUGGCACUCUUAGCAUUUGAAGAGCCCUGCCCAGCCUCAUGGAACCUUCCAUCGACAAGGGCACAGGGGCAGAUUUGGACUAUAACGCAGGUCCCUGAUGGCCAGCCUGCCAUUUCCACAGUGAGGGGUGGUUCUCAUGGUGGCUGUCACUCCCCGCAGGAGAACAUCAUGAAAUCCAACAUUGACAAGAAGUUCUCUGCGCACUACGACGCGGUGGAGGCAGAGCUCAAGUCCAGCACCGUGGGUCUCGUGACCCUGAAUGACAUGAAGGCCAAGCAGGAGGCUCUGGUGAAGGAGCGGGAGAAGCAGCUGGCC